rnacentral:rRNA from 1 species
CAGGCCGCGUGCUUACCAUGCAAGUCGAACGGAGAUUCAGCAAUGGAUCUUAGUGGCGAACGGGUGAGUAACGCGUAGGCAAUCUGCCUUCUAGAUGGGGACAACAUCCCGAAAGGGGUGCUAAUACCGAAUGUUGUAAUUGGUUCGCAUGGACUAGCUACUAAAGGUGGCCUCUGAAUAUGCUACCGCUAGAAGAUGAGCCUGCGUCUGAUUAGCUAGUUGGAGGGGUAACGGCCCACCAAGGCUUCGAUCAGUAGCCGGUCUGAGAGGAUGAACGGCCACACUGGGACUGAGACACGGCCCAGACUCCUACGGGAGGCAGCAGUGGGGAAUCUUCCGCAAUGGACGAAAGUCUGACGGAGCAACGCCGCGUGAGUGAAGAAGGUUUUCGGAUCGUAAAGCUCUUUCGUUAGGGACGAACGUGCUCUUUGUGAAUAAUGAGGAGUAAUGACGGUACCUAAAUAAGAAGCCACGGCUAACUACGUGCCAGCAGCCGCGGUAAUACGUAGGUGGCAAGCGUUGUCCGGAAUUAUUGGGCGUAAAGCGCGCGCAGGCGGGAUAUCAAGUCUGUCUUAAAAGUGCGAGGCUCAACCUCGUGAGGGGACGGAAACUGGUAUUCUUGAGUGUCGGAGAGGAAAGUGGAAUUCCAAGUGUAGCGGUGAAAUGCGUAGAGAUUUGGAAGAACACCAGUGGCGAAGGCGACUUUCUGGACGAUGUCUGACGCUGAGGCGCGAAAGCUAGGGGAGCGAACGGGAUUAGAUACCCCGGUAGUCCUAGCCGUAAACGAUGGGUACUAGGUGUAGGGGGUAUCGACCCCUCC